ACAGUAAGGUUUUUACAUACAGUAGUACAUAUUACAUACGUACAUAACUUUUUUUUACAGGAAUUUCCAACCAAGUUUGAUUAUGUACAUAUGUACAUGUUAUAAACCACUGUACGUAUGGUUACUGUAUGUAACUUACUAAACAUACAUAAACACCCCCUGACUUAACUUUGAUACUUUUUUGGUACAUUCCAGAAACCCAGGACCCCCUCCAUGAUGCAGGCUAUGGGGGCCACAUAAAACUUUGUCCAGGGUUACUACAUAACAUAGAACGACAACUGUAAACUAUGUACUACUGUACUAAAGAACCCCCUGAAUGAUGUAGGCUAUGGGGCCACAUAAGACUUUGUCCAUCCAGGGUUACAUUGACUGAGAACUUUAAACUAAAGAACCCCCUGAAUGAUGUAGGCUAUGGGGCCACAUAAGACUUUGUCCAUCCAGGGUUACAUUGACUGAGAACUUUAAACUAAAGAACCCCCUGAAUGAUGUAGGCUAUGGGGCCACAUAAGACUUUGUCCAUCCAGGGUUACAUUGACCGAGAACUUUAAACUAAAGAACCCCCUGAAUGAUGUAGGCUAUGGGGCCACAUAAGACUUUGUCCAUCCAGGGUUAUAUUGAAAGACAACUUUAAACUAAAGAGCUACCAGACUGGGAUUUUAGUGUAUCAAGGAUCUAACAAAGUGUGCAAUGCAUGUGUAUACGUAUACAGUGACAGUGUUUAGUGUAUACCCUAAGGAUUAAGUGUAGUGUACAUUGUGCUUUUUAGUGUCACAAGAGUUUAAUAAAGAAUUAUACCUUCAAGAA